AUUGAACGCGGCGGCAUGCCUUACACAUGCAAGUCGAACGGCAGCACGGGAGCAAUCCUGGUGGCGAGUGGCGAACGGGUGAGUAAUACAUCGGAACGUGCCCAAUCGUGGGGGAUAACGCAGCGAAAGCUGUGCUAAUACCGCAUACGAUCUACGGAUGAAAGCAGGGGAUCGCAAGACCUUGCGCGAAUGGAGCGGCCGAUGGCAGAUUAGGUAGUUGGUGAGGUAAAGGCUCACCAAGCCGUCGAUCUGUAGCUGGUCUGAGAGGACGACCAGCCACACUGGGACUGAGACACGGCCCAGACUCCUACGGGAGGCAGCAGUGGGGAAUUUUGGACAAUGGGCGAAAGCCUGAUCCAGCCAUGCCGCGUGCAGGAUGAAGGCCUUCGGGUUGUAAACUGCUUUUGUACGGAACGAAACGGCCUUUUCUAAUAAAGAGGGCUAAUGACGGUACCGUAAGAAUAAGCACCGGCUAACUACGUGCCAGCAGCCGCGGUAAUACGUAGGGUGCAAGCGUUAAUCGGAACUACUGGGCGUAAAGCGUGCGCAGGCGGUUAUGUAAGACAGUUGUGAAAUCCCCGGGCUCAACCUGGGAACUGCAUCUGUGACUGCAUAGCUAGAGUACGGUAGAGGGGGAUGGAAUUCCGCGUGUAGCAGUGAAAUGCGUAGAUAUGCGGAGGAACACCGAUGGCGAAGGCAAUCCCCUGGACCUGUACUGACGCUCAUGCACGAAAGCGUGGGGAGCAAACAGG
rnacentral:rRNA from 1 species